GGAGAGGUAGCUCAGUUGGAAGAGCAACAGUCUGGAAGCAUGGGUUCGAAUCCCAUUCCG
rnacentral:tRNA from 1 species